UCGCGGCUUAUCACCGGCAGUCCCCCUAGAGUGCCCAACUGAAUGAUGGCAACUAAGGGCGAGGGUUGCGCUCGUUGCGGGACUUAACCCAACAUCUCACGACACGAGCUGACGACAGCCAUGCAGCACCUGUGUUCCCGCCAGCCGAACUGAAGGGCUCCAUCUCUGGAGCCCACACGGGACAUGUCAAGGGCCGGUAAGGUUCUGCGCGUUGCUUCGAAUUAAACCACAUGCUCCACUGCUUGUGCGGGUCCCCGUCAAUUCUUUUGAGUUUCACCCUUGCGGGCGUACUCCCCAGGCGGUGUACUUAUCGCGUUAGCUUCGACGCACUCGGGGUUGAGACCGAAUACAUCAAGUACACAUCGUUUACGGCAAGGACUAC
rnacentral:misc_RNA from 1 species